CAGGUCACCAAUAGGCAUGUGAAAACAUCAGCCCAUGUUCAGCACAAAGUUCUCUACAUUUAUUUUAUAUAUUUUGUAUCAUGUGUUUUGUCAUAUUUUGUAGUCUAUUUCAGAAUAGCUAAAUGUGUGUAUGCAUUAAAUUCAGUAAUUCCUAGUUAUUUGUAUUCUUGAAUUUUAAGAUUAAAAUGUAUGACGUGACACCAAAUUGCAUUUUUGCAUUACUGGUAUUUUGCACAUAUUGGAUUACAACAUCUUGCAUAUCUGCAGGAGACGUACAUAGUGUUUCUAUAGAGAUAACAUUUUAUAUUUGCCUCAGUAUCUUAAGUCCUCAGAGAAAAACAUAGACGUUAGUGUAAAUUAUUCAUGUGAGUUUUCAUUUUAUUGUCCUACUUGAGGUGGUAUGUUUGUAAUUCUAGACAGUAGGAGAUUGAGGUUUGUGUAGUUUCAGUUGUAACUGUUCAUCUGUGCACACACAAGUGAUGAAAAAAAUGAACUGCAAUGUGUCCUUUGUGUGAAGGCUUCAGUAGGUUUACAGGUUAAGGCAAACAACUAAUAUAAUUCUUUCACAACUUUGUGGUGUAUCUGUUUCUAAAAUUCUGGUUUGAGGUCUUACAGAUGUGCCGCGUAUGGACAGUUUACAUGGUGGAUGCAUGGCAGGCUGGGGAGAAGAAUCCGCAGUCAUUCCAUCAUGUGCUGUGAACAAAAUAAGAAAUGUCUUGUGGGAACCGAGCAGAGUCUAUGCAGGGUUUAAAAAUGUAGAUAUUGAUAAUGAUUAUACAGAAGUAGAUGAAACAUGGAUAAAUGUUAUUGCUAUUUAGACUGCAUAGUUAAUAUUUGAAUAGUUUUACCUAAUAUUAACAAAUUUGUUUUCAUCUCAUGCCCUCUUGACUUUAGCUCUUUGUUUACUUUCUUUCUUCACUUCCGUUCCUCUUCUCAUUUUCUGAGCUGAACUGCCGAUCAACACCAUGAAGACUGGGGCGACAGAUGUUGGCCGUCCCUUGUUGAUUCUGAGUGGGAGAUGGCGGAGCCUGUUGGUGAAUGAAAUCAAGAAAAAAGAAACAGCUGAAAUCAGAGGGAGUGAGACCAAAACAAACUUGUUCCAUAAGCAUCCAUGAAGUGCAUGCAGAGAUUGAUCCAGCCUGCAUGUUUGCUCAUCGUGGUUGGGUGCAGGAUUCACAAUGGAUCUUAAUUUGCCUCAAGUAUGGUUGGCUUGUCACACCUGACAGGCCAACAACUUGUUGGUCGCCAUGCAUUAUUGGUCCUGUUUUUGUCUCUGUACUGCUCCGUGCACAUAUUCAACAAGACUGGAUGGCAAAAAAAAAGCCACUCAAAAUGGACUUCCUGCAGUGGCGUUUCUAUCCAUAAAGUGAUGCAUUUCCUUGUGUUGAACACUAAAGGUGUACUUUGUAUUUUAUGAGAUAUGUAGACCUAACCUGUUCAAUCAAAUUAAAUUGAUCUAUUUAUACAGACAGGUGACUAAUUAAGGAAGAAUCUGAAUAAAUGAAUGGGGAGAUGCUUCCAUAAACAUACGAGGACUCAUUUUGCACAAACCCAACACUACAACGCUAGCAUUAUUAUUGUACAAAAAUCAUUUGCCAAAGAUUUUUCAUGUGACAAUUUACUCAACAUAAAUGUAGAGACCAAAAUAUUCUAUGACCUGGUCAAUUAUUAAUAUUAUUUGAAUUUCAAAAAACAACAUGCAUUUUGUUUUAUCUGAACUAUGGUUUGUACUAGGUUUGCCAAAAGAGACCCCGAUACCUACAAACAAAAAAUGCUUGCAAAACAUUAAUGCAUUUGAAUUUCCCCCAUAAAAAGCAUACAUUAAUAAAUGACAGAAUAAAUAACAUUUUUUUUAUUUAUUUAUCUUUCAGUGUAUUUAUUUCUGUAUUUCUGUAAUCCUUAUUUAUUUAUAGAUUUGG